rnacentral:tRNA from 1 species
GGGGAUGUGGCUCAGUGGUAUAGUGCUUGUCUUGCAUACAUGAGGCCCUGGGUUCAAUUCUUAGCAUCACAA